rnacentral:rRNA from 1 species
GACGAACGCUGGCGGCGUGCUUAACACAUGCAAGUCGAACGGUGAAGCGCCUUCCUUUUUGGUUGGUGUGGAUGAGUGGCGAACGGGUGAGUAACACGUGAGUAACCUGCCCCCUUCUUCUGGAUAACCGCAUGAAAGUGUGGCUAAUACGGGAUAUUCUGUGUCUGUCGCAUGAUGGGUCUGUGAAAGAUAUUGUUUCGGUGUGGGAUGGUCUCGCGGCCUAUCAGCUUGUUGGUGGGGUGAUGGCCUACCAAGGCGGUGACGGGUAGCCGGCCUGAGAGGGUGGACGGUCACACUGGGAAUGAGACACGGACCAGACUCAUACGGGAGGCAGCAGUGGGGAAUAUUGCACGAUGGGCGGAAGCCUGAUGCAGCGACGCCGCGUGAGGGAUGGAGGCCUGCGGGUUGUGAACCUCUUUCGCCAGUGAAGCAGGCCUGCCUCGUUUGUGGGUGGGUUGACGGUAGCUGGAUAAGAAGCGCCGGCUAACUACGUG